rnacentral:rRNA from 1 species
GGAAACUGGGUCUAAUACUGGAUAUGACCUUUCUCCUUAUGGGGUUUGGUGGAAAGUUUUUCGGUGUAGGAUGAGCCCGCGGCCUAUCAGCUUGUUGGUGGGGUGAUGGCCUACCAAGGCGACGACGGGUAGCCGGCCUGAGAGGGUGAUCGGCCACAUUGGGACUGAGAUACGGCCCAG